rnacentral:lncRNA from 1 species
CCAUUGUUUAUUUCCCCAAACUGGACACAAGGUGAGAUGAAGUGCUUCUCAUUUAGUUUCAUUUACUUGAAAUAACUGCGGCAAGAUAAAGAAUAGUUGUUUGAAACAUCAAGGUAAGUGAACACUGUACUUUGGAUAUAAUAAUAUUGUUUGGUAUUUAUCCAACAUAUAUAUGGACAGAGAUGAGUAACAGAAAUGAGAGCAGAGUAGAAUUCCAGAACGGAGAACCUUCUUGGCCCUUUUUGUAGAAUCCUUGGGGAUGGGUCCCAUGCUUGAGACUGCUAGGACUUGGUUAAAAUCUGCUAUGUUGGGCUUUCCACCUCUUCUGAAACUGCAGAGAAGUUGCAAGUCCCUGGACUUGGGCAGCCCAUAUCAGGAGAAAAGGUACAGACUCUAGGAGCACAAGUUUAUUUUUUGUUGCUGAAUGAGGCAGAUAUUUUCUGUCAGAUAAACCAAGCAAACAGAAAGCACAGAGGAGGGUUUUGGUAUAAGUAAAUGCAUACAUUCAGACUUGCAGAAAAUGUUAUGCCAUUAAAUGAUAUGUCUUUUUCCUCUGAAGGACUCUGUCCUACUAACAAAGCGUAUGUACAUGCAGGGUCAUGCUAUCUUUGCCAGCCAUGAAUAAUGAAUCCUCUCUUUGCCGAGAAAGCAACCCCAAGGGACAGCCUCAUAGUGAAGAUACUCCUCGUAAGAAGCAGAAAGAAAUAAACUCAGACUGUCAUUUCUAGAUCAGUUUCUAAUGAGUGCCUGUGCUUAAAAAGGACAGUACAGCUCUCUGCUGGCUUGCAAACAAAGGGAAAUCCUAGUCAUACUCAAUUUUUAGGAAGAGAUGCGAUGUUUCAGUCUCAUCUCCUUCCUGGAGUGAUCCAGGUAGAUGGACACUAGAACAUAGCCCUAAAGAGACAUGUGAGUGGUGGGAUUUUUCCCUUAAAACCUCCCUAUUGCCCAGCACUUCUGUGUACAGCUCUUAAAACUCCUACACCAACUCAGGAACCUGGGCAUUUCAUAUUUGGAACAAAGUGUCAGAAGGCCAUAUCUCUGGAGGCUUCUGAGUUAUUUGCAUUUUUACAAUUAUAUUAUCACUCACUCCCAUCCUGAAGUAUAGUUCUGCAUCUGAAGCAAAAAGCAAAAUGUUGCAAGAAGCUCACUGCUCUUCCCACUGCCAUCCUCCCACAUCUCCACUGGCUGCCCCAUCCCCUCCAGCCCUUCCAGCUCCUGCAGCCAGUUCCCAGCCCCACAACGCCAGCUUGCCAAGUGGGAUCUUCCAGGCAAACACUGUCUCUUUCUUGUAAAGGGGAGAAUCUGAAUACCUAACAUGCGUAUCCAUCGAACAAUUUUUGGCUAAGGCUGAACUGCCGUUGCCAGCUCCCAGCUGUGACUUUUGGCUGGUUUUAACUCCUCAUACUCAUCUCUACUAUUCAAAAUGAACGCAGUACAAGAUGGAUUAGUGUAAAGUCUUCUGAGUCGUGUUGUCUUGUUGUAUAGACAAUGAAGCUAAUUGUGUCAAGUGUCCUCAACUUUCUGGGCAGUUUCCACUUCUCCUCUUACUGAAGCUAAUGGUGUCGGAACUGAGAGAGCAUUCUGCAGUACUUCUUUGCAGGUUCUCCAUGGCUUUAGUCUCCCAUAUAUAUAUAUUAUUUUUUUUUUUUGGAUUAAUAAUUUGGGGAGGAAGGAGGGCCUGUUUGUUAUUUUUCUGACUUAGAUUGAAGGGAGCCAAAUUCAGCCCAGGGAAACUUCCUGCCUGGGACAGUAAAAUUUCACGUCAUCUGUACCAGUGGUAUCCACCUUCAGAAUUCUCCCUCUGGUUGAAACUUGCUUAAGGAGACAACAGGUAAGGAGAUAAGCAAGCCGAUUUAAGCAUUCCUUUUUCUCCUAUGUAGUAGAUCUUGAAUAUCUUUAACUGACUCUUUUUUCGGCUAGUUACUUUUUCUUUCUGUAUACAAAAGACCUAUAAUGGCUGGAGUGUUUGCCGAAAGCUUUCUCACUUUGUUGCAGAUUGCUUUUGCUUGCCAGUAUUUUCAUUUCAUCCCAGUCCAAAACAGAUUUCAGAGAUUUUCAUGAAUCCCCGUAGUUAAACAUUAGAGUUACACUUUUUAGACUCAUAGAAUCACAGAAGG